UACGUAGGGUGCAAGCGUUGUCCGGAAUUAUUGGGCGUAAAGAGCUCGUAGGCGGUUUGUCGCGUCGAAUGUGAAAACCCGGGGCUCAACCCCGGGCCUGCAUUCGAUACGGGCAGACUAGAGUUCGGUAGGGGAGUCUGGAAUUCCUGGUGUAGCGGUGGAAUGCGCAGAUAUCAGGAGGAACACCGAUGGCGAAGGCAGGUCUCUGGGCCAUUACUGACACUGAGAAGCGAAAGCAUGGGGAGCGAACAGG
rnacentral:rRNA from 1 species